GUCCUUGCCGUAAACGAUGUAUACUUGAUGUAAUUGGGCUCAACCCUGAUUGUGUCGUAGCUAACGCGAUAAGUAUACCGCCUGGGAGUACGCUCGCAAGGGUGAAACUCAAAAGAAUUGACGGGGCCCGCACAAGCAGUGGAGCAUGUGGUUUAAUUCGAUGCAACGCGAAGAACCUUACCCAGGCUCGAAAAUGUAAUAGACGUAACCAGAGAUGGUUAUUUCCGCAAGGACUGUUAUAUAGGUGCUGCAUGGCUGUCGU
rnacentral:rRNA from 1 species